rnacentral:rRNA from 1 species
AGUGAACGCUGGCGGUAGGCCUAACACAUGCAAGUCGAACGGCAGCACAGUAAGAGCUUGCUCUUACGGGUGGCGAGUGGCGGACGGGUGAGGAAUACAUCGGAAUCUACUUUUUCGUGGGGGAUAACGUAGGGAAACUUACGCUAAUACCGCAUACGACCUACGGGUGAAAGCAGGGGAUCUUCGGACCUCGCGCGAUUGAAUGAGCCGAUGUCGGAUUAGCUAGUUGGCGGGGUAAAGGCCCACCAAGGCGACGAUCCGUAGCUGGUCUGAGAGGAUGAUCAGCCACACUGGAACUGAGACACGGUCCAGACUCCUACGGGAGGCAGCAGUGGGGAAUAUUGGACAAUGGGCGCAAGCCUGAUCCAGCCAUACCGCGUGGGUGAAGAAGGCCUUCGGGUUGUAAAGCCCUUUUGUUGGGAAAGAAAAGCAGCAGGUUAAUACCCCGCUGUUCUGACGGUACCCAAAGAAUAAGCACCGGCUAACUUCGU